UUGCUUCAGCAGCACAUGUACUAAAACUGGAACGAUACAGAGAAGAUUGGCAUGGUCCCUGAGCAAGGAUGGCAGGCAAAUUUGUGAAGCAUUCUAUACUUUC